rnacentral:rRNA from 1 species
UACAGAGGUCCCAAGCGUUGUUCGGAUUCACUGGGCGUAAAGGGUGCGUAGGUGGUGGGGUAAGUCGGAUGUGAAAGCUCGGAGCUCAACUCCGAAAUGGCAUUGGAAACUACCCUGCUAGAGGAUUGGAGGGGGGACUGGAAUACUUGGUGUAGCAGUGAAAUGCGUAGAUAUCAAGUGGAACACCGAUGGCGAAGGCAGGUCUCUGGGCAUUAACUGACGCUGAGGAGCGAAAGCAUGGGGAGCGAACAGG